AAGACUAUAGACCUGCGGAGUACCUGCGGAAGGAUCAUUAAUGAUUGGCCUUGUGGCCUUAUCAAUUAUUAAUCCCAACACCCCUGUGAACCGUUCUCGGCCCUCGGGCUGCUGAUCUUUUUACAAUACAAACAUCGUGCAAUGAACGUCUUGUUAUCUUAACAAAACAAAACUUUCAGCAAUGGAUCUCU
rnacentral:misc_RNA from 1 species